rnacentral:rRNA from 1 species
AACGUACGCUGGCGGUACACCUAACACAUGCAAGUCGAACGCAGUAGCAAUACUGAGUGGCAGACGGGUGAGUAACAUGUGGGAAUCUGCCUUGUGGUUCAGGACAACAUUGGGAAACCGAUGCUAAUACUGGAUAAGCCCUUACGGGGAAAGUUUUAAUGCCAUAAGAUGAGCCAGCAUUUGAUUAGUUAGUUGGUGAGGUAAUGGCUCACCAAGACAAUGAUCACUAGCUGAACUGAGAGGAUGAGCAGCCACACUGGGACUGAGACACGGCCCAGUCUCCUGCGGGAGGCAGCAGUGGGGAAUCUUGCACAAUGGAGGAAACUCGUAUGCAGCGAUGCCGCGUGAGUGAAGAAGGCCUUUGGGUUGUAAAGCUCUUUUGUAGGGGAAGAUAAUGACUGUACCCUAAGAAUAAGGUCCGGCUAACUACGUGCCAGCAGCCGCAGUAA